UACGUAGGGUGCAAGCGUUGUCCGGAAUUACUGGGCGUAAAGAGCUCGUAGGCGGUCUGUCGCGUCUGCUGUGAAAACUCGGGGCUUAACCCCGGGCCUGCAGUGGGUACGGGCAGACUAGAGUGCGGUAGGGGAGACUGGAAUUCCUGGUGUAGCGGUGAAAUGCGCAGAUAUCGGGAGGAACACCGAUGGCGAAGGCAGCACUCUGGGCCGGCACUGACGCUGAGGAGCGAAAGCGUGGGGAGCGAACAGG
rnacentral:rRNA from 1 species